rnacentral:misc_RNA from 1 species
AAAAACUAUAAUUAAUAUAGUUAUCAUCAAUUCCGACAGCAAAAUGUGGAAGAUCUUAAUUUUCACCGUUGUCCUUCUCGUCUCCAUUCAAGGUAAGUAAUCUGAAGGCACAUAAAGGGUUUUCCCCCGAAUCCUUAUGUUUUUAACCGUUCAUUAUAAUUGACGAAAAUUAAAUUUUGAUGCAUGCAUUUAUUCCUUUUAAAUUUAUUUGCAAAUACUUUUAAUAUAUAAAAAAAUUGAUUGAUUGGUAUACCGACUUUUCUAUAUCUAUGAAACUAAUAAUAAAGUUCCAACCACAGAUUCCUUAAAGAACCAUUUCCUUAUCCAAAAUAAUGUGUUUUUUUUUCUUUCUAGAUGCUGAAGGGUGGUUAUUUCGAAGUAAGUAUAAUAUCAACAAAAUAAGAAAAUGAACUGUCGAUCUAAAGAAAUAAGACAUUUAAUUUUAAUAGAAGUUUUGAACAACAAAUUAAGACUUAAAAAUUAACGCAUUGUUUAAGAGUCGUAAUGGACUGUCGCAAAGAUCGCUUUUUUUACGGUUGAUGGCUUACUUUUACACUAUUACAAUAUACUGAGUAUUUUAUGUGACUAUUAUCGUGGCUGUCAAAAAAAUAUGAAUAGAUAUAAAAAUAAUUGUUCUUGUAUUUGCUUCAAAUUUAAGGUAAUACAAAAGUCAAAACUAUCAAUUACAUAGAUUUUGUCUUUUAUGACAAACGUAAAUAUAAUGAUUGCGUUUUAUUCAUAUAGCCCAUGCUCCCGUUUGGAGAUUUAAAAGUAAAUAUUAGCCGUCGUAAAAUGCAGGUUUAAAACUGAAUUACUUGAAAGUCGGCAAUUUUUGAAAAGGUCAAAUAUGCACACACUCAUGUACGAAUUACUUUAUUUCAUCCAUUGUGAUUUAAAUUUUUCUACAGCAAAACAUGUUCACCACCACCAUCAUAUUUACAAUGACCACCACCACCACCACCACCACCACCACGGGUGGGGGCAUCAUGGACGGCGAUCCAUGAAUGAUAAGAAAAGAAAAGCUGACGAAAAGGACAUAGAGGAAAACGAUGAGAGGAAAUUAAUGGAAUGAUUUGUGUAAUAAACGAAGCCUCAUUAUCUCUC